AUUGAACGCUGGCGGCAGGCCUAACACAUGCAAGUCGAGCGGAUGAAGGGAGCUUGCUCCUGGAUUCAGCGGCGGACGGGUGAGUAAUGCCUAGGUAUCUGCCUGGUAGUGGGGGAUAACGUCCGGAAACGGGCGCUAAUACCUCAUACGUCCUGAGGGAGAAAGUGGGGGAUCUUCGGACCUCACGCUAUCAGAUGAGCCUAGGUCGGAUUAGCUAGUUGGUGGGGUAAAGGCCUACCAAGGCGACGAUCCGUAACUGGUCUGAGAGGAUGAUCAGUCACACUGGAACUGAGACACGGUCCAGACUCCUACGGGAGGCAGCAGUGGGGAAUAUUGGACAAUGGGCGAAAGCCUGAUCCAGCCAUGCCGCGUGUGUGAAGAAGGUCUUCGGAUUGUAAAGCACUUUAAGUUGGGAGGAAGGGCAGUAAGUUAAUACCUUGCUGUUUUGACGUUACCAACAGAAUAAGCACCGGCUAACUUCGUG
rnacentral:rRNA from 1 species